rnacentral:rRNA from 1 species
UGGGGAAUAUUGGGCAAUGGGGCGCAAGCCUGACCCAGCAACGCCGCGUGAGGGAAGAAGGCUUUCGGGUUGUAAACCUCCGCCCUUGGUGACGAAGGAAGUGACGGUAGCCAAGGAGGAAGCCCCGGCUAACUACGUGCCAGCAGCCGCGGUAAUACGUAGGGGGGCGAGCGUUGUCCGGAAUUACUGGGCGUAAAGGGUGCGUAGGUGGUCAGAUAAGUUGGAUGUGAAAUACCCGGGCUUAACUUGGGGGGUGCAUCCAAUACUGUUUGACUAGAGUGCAGGAGAGGGAAGCGGAAUUCCUAGUGUAGCGGUGAAAUGCGUAGAUAUUAGGAGGAACACCAGUGGCGAAGGCGGCUUUCUGGACUGUAACUGACACUGAGGCACGAAAGCGUGGGGAGCAAACAGGAUUAGAUACCCUGGUAGU